rnacentral:rRNA from 1 species
AGUGAACGCUGGCGGUAGGCCUAACACAUGCAAGUCGAACGGCAGCACAGUAAGAGCUUGCUCGUACGGGUGGCGAGUGGCGGACGGGUGAGGAAUACAUCGGAAUCUACUUUUUCGUGGGGGAUAACGUAGGGAAACUUACGCUAAUACCGCAUACGACCUACGGGUGAAAGCAGGGGAUCUUCGGACCUUGCGCGAUUGAAUGAGCCGAUGUCGGAUUAGCUAGUUGGCGGGGUAAAGGCCCACCAAGGCGACGAUCCGUAGCUGGUCUGAGAGGUUGAUCAGCCACACUGGAACUGAGACACGGUCCAGACGCCUACGGGAGGCAGCAGUGGGAGAUAUUGGACAAUGGGCGCAAGCCUGAUCCAGCCAUACCGCGUGGGUGAGGAAGGCCUUUGGGUUGUGAAGCCCUUUUGUUGGGAAAGAAAAGCAGCAGGUUAAUACCCCGCUGUUCUGACGGUACCCAAAGAAUAAGCACCGGCUAACUUCGUG